GGUUAAGCGACUAAGCGUACACGGUGGAUGCCCUGGCAGUCAGAGGCGAUGAAGGGCGUGCUAAUCUGCGAUAAGCGCCGGUAAGGUGAUAUGAACCGUUAUAACCGGCGAUACCCGAAUGGGGAAACCCAGUGUGAUUCGUCACACUAUCAUUAACUGAAUCCAUAGGUUAAUGAGGCGAACCGGGGGAACUGAAACAUCUAAGUACCCCGAGGAAAAGAAAUCAACCGAGAUUCCCCCAGUAGCGGCGAGCGAACGGGGAGGAGCCCAGAGCCUGAAUCAGCAUGUGUGUUAGUGGAAGCGUCUGGAAAGGCGCGCGAUACAGGGUGACAGCCCCGUACACAAAAGCGCAUGUGCUGUGAGCUCGAUGAGUAGGGCGGGACACGUGGUAUCCUGUCUGAAUAUGGGGGGACCAUCCUCCAAGGCUAAAUACUCCUGACUGACCGAUAGUGAACCAGUACCGUGAGGGAAAGGCGAAAAGAACCCCGGCGAGGGGAGUGAAAAAGAACCUGAAACCGUGUACGUACAAGCAGUGGGAGCCCCACCACUAAGCCAGUGGUGAACUCCACAUCCGCAUCCUUUGCUGAGGAUACGGUUAACGGAGCGAAAGCGACGUUCAACCGCAAAACAAGCAGAGGGGGCUUAGUGGUGGGGUGACUGCGUACCUUUUGUAUAAUGGGUCAGCGACUUAUAUUCUGUAGCAAGGUUAACCGAAUAGGGGAGCCGGAGGGAAACCGAGUCUUAAUUGGGCGUUAAGUUGCAGGGUAUAGACCCGAAACCCGGUGAUCUAGCCAUGGGCAGGUUGAAGGUUGGGUAACACUAACUGGAGGACCGAACCGACUAAUGUUGAAAAAUUAGCGGAUGACCUGUGGCUGGGGGUGAAAGGCCAAUCAAACCGGGAGAUAGCUGGUUCUCCCCGAAAGCUAUUUAGGUAGCGCCUCGUGAAUUCAUCUCCGGGGGUAGAGCACUGUUUCGGCUAGGGGGCCAUCCCGGCUUACCAACCCGAUGCAAACUGCGAAUACCGGAGAAUGUUAUCACGGGAGACACACGGCGGGUGCUAACGUCCGUCGUGAAGAGGGAAACAACCCAGACCGCCAGCUAAGGUCCCAAAGUCAUGGUUAAGUGGGAAACGAUGUGGGAAGGCCCAGACAGCCAGGAUGUUGGCUUAGAAGCAGCCAUCAUUUAAAGAAAGCGUAAUAGCUCACUGGUCGAGUCGGCCUGCGCGGAAGAUGUAACGGGGCUAAACCAUGCACCGAAGCUGCGGCAGCGACGCUGAUGCGUUGUUGGGUAGGGGAGCGUUCUGUAAGCCUGCGAAGGUGACCUGUGAGGGUUGCUGGAGGUAUCAGAAGUGCGAAUGCUGACAUAAGUAACGAUAAAGCGGGUGAAAAGCCCGCUCGCCGGAAGACCAAGGGUUCCUGUCCAACGUUAAUCGGGGCAGGGUGAGUCGACCCCUAAGGCGAGGCCGAAAGGCGUAGUCGAUGGGAAACGGGUUAAUAUUCCCGUACUUGGUGUUACUGCGAAGGGGGGACGGAGAAGGCUAUGUUGGCCGGGCGACGGUUGUCCCGGUUUAAGCGUGUAGGUGUGUGUUCCAGGUAAAUCCGGUUCACUUUAACACUGAGGCGUGACGACGAGGCACUACGGUGCUGAAGCAACAAAUGCCCUGCUUCCAGGAAAAGCCUCUAAGCAUCAGGUAACAUCAAAUCGUACCCCAAACCGACACAGGUGGUCAGGUAGAGAAUACCAAGGCGCUUGAGAGAACUCGGGUGAAGGAACUAGGCAAAAUGGUGCCGUAACUUCGGGAGAAGGCACGCUGACACGUAGGUGAAGUGAUUUACUCAUGGAGCUGAAGUCAGUCGAAGAUACCAGCUGGCUGCAACUGUUUAUUAAAAACACAGCACUGUGCAAACACGAAAGUGGACGUAUACGGUGUGACGCCUGCCCGGUGCCGGAAGGUUAAUUGAUGGGGUCAGCGCAAGCGAAGCUCCUGAUCGAAGCCCCGGUAAACGGCGGCCGUAACUAUAACGGUCCUAAGGUAGCGAAAUUCCUUGUCGGGUAAGUUCCGACCUGCACGAAUGGCGUAAUGAUGGCCAGGCUGUCUCCACCCGAGACUCAGUGAAAUUGAACUCGCUGUGAAGAUGCAGUGUACCCGCGGCAAGACGGAAAGACCCCGUGAACCUUUACUAUAGCUUGACACUGAACAUUGAGCCUUGAUGUGUAGGAUAGGUGGGAGGCUUUGAAGUGUGGACGCCAGUCUGCAUGGAGCCGACCUUGAAAUACCACCCUUUAAUGUUUGAUGUUCUAACGUGGACCCGUAAUCCGGGUUGCGGACAGUGUCUGGUGGGUAGUUUGACUGGGGCGGUCUCCUCCUAAAGAGUAACGGAGGAGCACGAAGGUUGGCUAAUCCUGGUCGGACAUCAGGAGGUUAGUGCAAUGGCAUAAGCCAGCUUGACUGCGAGCGUGACGGCGCGAGCAGGUGCGAAAGCAGGUCAUAGUGAUCCGGUGGUUCUGAAUGGAAGGGCCAUCGCUCAACGGAUAAAAGGUACUCCGGGGAUAACAGGCUGAUACCGCCCAAGAGUUCAUAUCGACGGCGGUGUUUGGCACCUCGAUGUCGGCUCAUCACAUCCUGGGGCUGAAGUAGGUCCCAAGGGUAUGGCUGUUCGCCAUUUAAAGUGGUACGCGAGCUGGGUUUAGAACGUCGUGAGACAGUUCGGUCCCUAUCUGCCGUGGGCGCUGGAGAACUGAGGGGGGCUGCUCCUAGUACGAGAGGACCGGAGUGGACGCAUCACUGGUGUUCGGGUUGUCAUGCCAAUGGCACUGCCCGGUAGCUAAAUGCGGAAGAGAUAAGUGCUGAAAGCAUCUAAGCACGAAACUUGCCCCGAGAUGAGUUCUCCCUGAGACUUUAGGUCUCCUGAAGGAACGUUGAAGACGACGACGUUGAUAGGCCGGGUGUGUAAGCGCAGCGAUGCGUUGAGCUAACCGGUACUAAUGAACCGUGAGGCUUAACCUU
rnacentral:rRNA from 1 species